UACCAGCACCCCGAGUGGUCGGGACGAUUAUUGGGCCUAAAGCAUCCGUAGCCGGUCUUGCAAGUCUUCCGUUAAAUCCAGCUGCUUAACAGAUGGGCUGCGGAAGAUACUACAAGACUAGGAGGUGGGAGAGGCAAGCGGUACUCAGUGGGUAGGGGUAAAAUCCUCUGAUCCAUUGAAGACCACCAGUGGCGAAGGCGGCUUGCCAGAACGCGCUCGACGGUGAGGGAGUGAAAGCUGGGGGAGCAAACCGG
rnacentral:rRNA from 1 species